rnacentral:rRNA from 1 species
UACAGAGGGGGCAAGCGUUGUUCGGAAUUACUGGGCGUAAAGGGCGCGUAGGCGGCCUGCUAAGUCGAACGUGAAAUCCCCGGGCUCAACCCGGGAACUGCGUCCGAUACUGACAGGCUUGAAUCCGGGAGAGGGAUGUGGAAUUCCAGGUGUAGCGGUGAAAUGCGUAGAUAUCUGGAGGAACACCGGUGGCGAAGGCGGCAUCCUGGACCGGUAUUGACGCUGAGGCGCGAAAGCCAGGGGAGCAAACGGG